rnacentral:rRNA from 1 species
GCCAGACUCCUACGGGAGGCAGCAGUGGGGAAUAUUGCACAAUGGGGGAAACCCUGAUGCAGCAACGCCGCGUGAGUGAAGAAGUAUUUCGGUAUGUAAAGCUCUAUCAGCAGGGAAGAAGAAGGACGGUACCUGACUAAGAAGCCCCGGCUAACUACGUGCCAGCAGCCGCGGUAAUACGUAGGGGGCGAGCGUUAUCCGGAUUUACUGGGUGUAAAGGGAGCGUAGACGGUUAAUCAAGUCUGAAGUGAAAGCCCGCGGCUCAACUGCGGAACGGCUUUGGAAACUGAGUAACUGGAGUGCUGGAGGGGCAGGCGGAAUUCCUGGUGUAGCGGUGAAAUGCGUAGAUAUCAGGAGGAACACCGGUGGCGAAGGCGGCCUGCUGGACAGUAACUGACGUUGAGGCUCGAAAGCGUGGGGAGCAAACAGGAUUAGAUACCCUAGUAUAU